rnacentral:rRNA from 1 species
GGGUUGUGAGGUUAAGCGACUAAGCGUACACGGUGGAUGCCCUGGCAGUCAGAGGCGAUGAAGGGCGUGCUAAUCUGCGAUAAGCGCCGGUAAGGUGAUAUGAACCGUUAUAACCGGCGAUACCCGAAUGGGGAAACCCAGUGUGAUUCGUCACACUAUCAUUAACUGAAUCCAUAGGUUAAUGAGGCGAACCGGGGGAACUGAAACAUCUAAGUACCCCGAGGAAAAGAAAUCAACCGAGAUUCCCCCAGUAGCGGCGAGCGAACGGGGAGGAGCCCAGAGCCUGAAUCAGCAUGUGUGUUAGUGGAAGCGUCUGGAAAGGCGCGCGAUACAGGGUGACAGCCCCGUACACAAAAGCGCAUGUGCUGUGAGCUCGAUGAGUAGGGCGGGACACGUGGUAUCCUGUCUGAAUAUGGGGGGACCAUCCUCCAAGGCUAAAUACUCCUGACUGACCGAUAGUGAACCAGUACCGUGAGGGAAAGGCGAAAAGAACCCCGGCGAGGGGAGUGAAAAAGAACCUGAAACCGUGUACGUACAAGCAGUGGGAGCACAGGUUUACCUGUGUGACUGCGUACCUUUUGUAUAAUGGGUCAGCGACUUAUAUUCUGUAGCAAGGUUAACCGAAUAGGGGAGCCGGAGGGAAACCGAGUCUUAAUUGGGCGUUAAGUUGCAGGGUAUAGACCCGAAACCCGGUGAUCUAGCCAUGGGCAGGUUGAAGGUUGGGUAACACUAACUGGAGGACCGAACCGACUAAUGUUGAAAAAUUAGCGGAUGACCUGUGGCUGGGGGUGAAAGGCCAAUCAAACCGGGAGAUAGCUGGUUCUCCCCGAAAGCUAUUUAGGUAGCGCCUCGUGAAUUCAUCUCCGGGGGUAGAGCACUGUUUCGGCUAGGGGGCCAUCCCGGCUUACCAACCCGAUGCAAACUGCGAAUACCGGAGAAUGUUAUCACGGGAGACACACGGCGGGUGCUAACGUCCGUCGUGAAGAGGGAAACAACCCAGACCGCCAGCUAAGGUCCCAAAGUCAUGGUUAAGUGGGAAACGAUGUGGGAAGGCCCAGACAGCCAGGAUGUUGGCUUAGAAGCAGCCAUCAUUUAAAGAAAGCGUAAUAGCUCACUGGUCGAGUCGGCCUGCGCGGAAGAUGUAACGGGGCUAAACCAUGCACCGAAGCUGCGGCAGCGACGCUUAUGCGUUGUUGGGUAGGGGAGCGUUCUGUAAGCCUGCGAAGGUGGCCUGUGAGGGUUGCUGGAGGUAUCAGAAGUGCGAAUGCUGACAUAAGUAACGAUAAAGCGGGUGAAAAGCCCGCUCGCCGGAAGACCAAGGGUUCCUGUCCAACGUUAAUCGGGGCAGGGUGAGUCGACCCCUAAGGCGAGGCCGAAAGGCGUAGUCGAUGGGAAACGGGUUAAUAUUCCCGUACUUGGUGUUACUGCGAAGGGGGGACGGAGAAGGCUAUGUUGGCCGGGCGACGGUUGUCCCGGUUUAAGCGUGUAGGUGUGUGUUCCAGGUAAAUCCGGUUCACUUUAACACUGAGGCGUGACGACGAGGCACUACGGUGCUGAAGCAACAAAUGCCCUGCUUCCAGGAAAAGCCUCUAAGCAUCAGGUAACAUCAAAUCGUACCCCAAACCGACACAGGUGGUCAGGUAGAGAAUACCAAGGCGCUUGAGAGAACUCGGGUGAAGGAACUAGGCAAAAUGGUGCCGUAACUUCGGGAGAAGGCACGCUGACACGUAGGUGAAGUGAUUUACUCAUGGAGCUGAAGUCAGUCGAAGAUACCAGCUGGCUGCAACUGUUUAUUAAAAACACAGCACUGUGCAAACACGAAAGUGGACGUAUACGGUGUGACGCCUGCCCGGUGCCGGAAGGUUAAUUGAUGGGGUCAGCGCAAGCGAAGCUCCUGAUCGAAGCCCCGGUAAACGGCGGCCGUAACUAUAACGGUCCUAAGGUAGCGAAAUUCCUUGUCGGGUAAGUUCCGACCUGCACGAAUGGCGUAAUGAUGGCCAGGCUGUCUCCACCCGAGACUCAGUGAAAUUGAACUCGCUGUGAAGAUGCAGUGUACCCGCGGCAAGACGGAAAGACCCCGUGAACCUUUACUAUAGCUUGACACUGAACAUUGAGCCUUGAUGUGUAGGAUAGGUGGGAGGCUUUGAAGUGUGGACGCCAGUCUGCAUGGAGCCGACCUUGAAAUACCACCCUUUAAUGUUUGAUGUUCUAACGUGGACCCGUUACCCGGGUUGCGGACAGUGUCUGGUGGGUAGUUUGACUGGGGCGGUCUCCUCCUAAAGAGUAACGGAGGAGCACGAAGGUUGGCUAAUCCUGGUCGGACAUCAGGAGGUUAGUGCAAUGGCAUAAGCCAGCUUGACUGCGAGCGUGACGGCGCGAGCAGGUGCGAAAGCAGGUCAUAGUGAUCCGGUGGUUCUGAAUGGAAGGGCCAUCGCUCAACGGAUAAAAGGUACUCCGGGGAUAACAGGCUGAUACCGCCCAAGAGUUCAUAUCGACGGCGGUGUUUGGCACCUCGAUGUCGGCUCAUCACAUCCUGGGGCUGAAGUAGGUCCCAAGGGUAUGGCUGUUCGCCAUUUAAAGUGGUACGCGAGCUGGGUUUAGAACGUCGUGAGACAGUUCGGUCCCUAUCUGCCGUGGGCGCUGGAGAACUGAGGGGGGCUGCUCCUAGUACGAGAGGACCGGAGUGGACGCAUCACUGGUGUUCGGGUUGUCAUGCCAAUGGCACUGCCCGGUAGCUAAAUGCGGAAGAGAUAAGUGCUGAAAGCAUCUAAGCACGAAACUUGCCCCGA